AGAGUUUGAUCAUGGCUCAGAGUGAACGCUGGCGGCGUGCCUAACACAUGCAAGUCGAACGAGAACGGAAUCUAGCUUGCUAGAUUUGUCAGCUAAGUGGCGCACGGGUGAGUAAUAUAUAGUUAAUCUGCCCCAAAGAAGAGAAUAAUUGUUGGAAACGACUUGUAAUGCUCUAUAUGCCUUUAUCACAAAAGUGAGCAAGGGAAAUAUUUAUAGCUUUGGGAUGAGACUGUACGGUAUCAGCUAGUUGGUGAGGUAAUGGCUCACCAAGGCUAUGACAUCUAACUGGUUUGAGAGGAUGAUCAGUCACACUGGAACUGAGACACGGUCCAGACUCCUACGGGAGGCAGCAGUGGGGAAUAUUGCACAAUGGAGGAAACUCUGAUGCAGCAACGCCGCGUGGAGGAUGACACAUUUCGGUGCGUAAACUCCUUUUAUUAGGGAAGAUAAUGACGGUACCUAAUGAAUAAGCACCGGCUAACUCCGUGCCAGCAGCCGCGGUAAUACGGGGGGUGCAAGCGUUACUCGGAAUCACUGGGCGUAAAGAGCAUGUAGGCUGGUUUGUAAGUUGGAAGUGAAAUCCUAUGGCUCAACCAUAGAACUGCUUCCAAAACUGCUUACCUAGAGUAUGGGAGAGGUAGAUGGAAUUUCUGGUGUAGGGGUAAAAUCCGUAGAGAUCAGAAGGAAUACCGAUUGCGAAGGCGAUCUACUGGAACAUUACUGACGCUCAGAUGCGAAAGCGUGGGGAGCAAACAGGAUUAGAUACCCUGGUAGUCCACGCCCUAAACGAUGCACACUAGUUGUUGCUAUGCUAGACAUAGCAGUAAUGCAGUUAACACAGUAAGUGUGCCGCCUGGGGAGUACGGUCGCAAGAUUAAAACUCAAGGAAUAGACGGGGACCCGCACAGCGGUGGAGCAUGUGGUUUA
rnacentral:rRNA from 1 species